CCUCAGCUAGAACAUCCAGGCAUCCUUAGCUCUCUGCUCACCUCUCUGGUGCCACUCGUGCUGUGGGGCCUCUGCUCUUCAGACUCAGACGACUCCAGAUGAGAACAGGUCCUCUCGCUCCUGCUCUCGGAGCCAGUCUGCCUGCUCAGACCCUCCUCCAGGCAGCUGAGACACUCCUGGUCUGCAGGGGCCUGGAAUCUCCCUCCGGGCAUUCUUCGCUUCCGGUACUUUUCCAUACCAGGCAAAGGAUUUAACGCCUUUUGUGUUGACAAACAUGACGUCUGAGAAGAGGAGGUUGAGUUCUCUAUGUCUAUGCAGUCUAUAACAGAGAUGAGAACACAACUCUCAUCAGACCAAGUUCUCUGGGCACAGGUAUACCUGUGCAUGCACUGUGUGUGCAUGCAUGUGUGCACAUACGGGAAAUCCAUCAGCAUAACAAGACUGAAUAAUAACUUUAACAAAUUAAUUGGCUAAUGAUUAUACUUUUCUUGCCAAAAUUAUGUUUAACAAAGUUGAGUAAAAACCUAAAAAUUUGGAAAUUA